GACGAACGCUGGCGGCAGGCCUAACACAUGCAAGUCGAGCGGCAGCGGGUCCUUCGGGAUGCCGGCGAGCGGCGGACGGGUGAGUAAUGCCUAGGAAUCUGCCUGGUAGGGGGGGAUAACGUUCGGAAACGGACGCUAAUACCGCAUACGUCCUACGGGAGAAAGUGGGGGAUCUUCGGACCUCACGCUAUCAGAUGAGCCUAGGUCGGAUUAGCUAGUUGGUGGGGUAAAGGCUCACCAAGGCGACGAUCCGUAACUGGUCUGAGAGGAUGAUCAGUCACACUGGAACUGAGACACGGUCCAGACUCCUACGGGAGGCAGCAGUGGGGAAUAUUGGACAAUGGGCGAAAGCCUGAUCCAGCCAUGCCGCGUGUGUGAAGAAGGUCUUCGGAUUGUAGAGCACUUUAAGUUGGGAGGAAGGGCAGUCAGUUAAUACCUGGUUGUUUUGACGUUACCAACAGAAUAAGCACCGGCUAACUUCGUGCCAGCCGCCGCUGUAACAC
rnacentral:rRNA from 1 species